rnacentral:rRNA from 1 species
UACAGAGGUCUCAAGCGUUGUUCGGAUUCAUUGGGCGUAAAGGGUGCGUAGGCGGCGCGGUAAGUCGGGUGUGAAAUCUCGGGGCUUAACUCCGAAACUGCAUUCGAUACUGCCGUGCUUGAGGACUGGAGAGGAGACUGGAAUUUACGGUGUAGCGGUGAAAUGCGUAGAGAUCGGGAAGAACAUCGGUGGCGAAAGCGCUCUACUGGACCGCAACUGACACUCAGGGACGAAAGCUAGGGGAGCGAAUGGG